rnacentral:rRNA from 1 species
GACGUAGGAUGCAAGCGUUGUCCGGAAUUAUUGGGCGUAAAGAGUUCGUAGGCGGUUAUCUAAGUCUGGUGUUAAAGCCCGAAGCUCAACUUCGGCAUGGCAUUGGAAACUGGGUAGCUAGAGUGUGGUAGAGGUAUCGGGAAUUCCUGGUGUAGCGGUGAAAUGCGUAGAUAUCAGGAAGAACACCCGUGGCGAAGGCGGCUCUCUGGGACGGUACUGACGCUGAGACGCGAAAGCGUGGGGAGCGAACAGG